rnacentral:rRNA from 1 species
UACGUAGGGGGCAAGCGUUGUCCGGAAUUAUUGGGCGUAAAGAGCGCGUAGGCGGUCCGAUAAGUCGGCUGUGAAAGUCAAGGGCUCAACCCUUGGAAGCCGGCCGAUACUGUCGGACUAGAGUCCGGAAGAGGCGAGUGGAAUUCCCGGUGUAGCGGUGAAAUUCGUAGAUAUUCGGAAGAACACCAGUGGCGAAGGCGACUUACUGGACACAUAUUGACGCUGAGGUGCGAAAGCGUGGGGAGCAAACAGG